rnacentral:tRNA from 1 species
GGGGUCGUAACCAUAGAGCGAUAAGCCUAGCACGGCAGGGCGACAGUGAAAACCGCUAAGGGCUCCAGAUGUAGUAUGGGUCAUCUGACGCAAGAAUGAUGUUGAUCUGGAGCUGCAGGGCUGACCCGUAGGUCAGGGGUUCAAAUCCCCUCGACCCCA